AGCGAACGCUGGCGGCAGGCUUAACACAUGCAAGUCGAGCGGGCACUUUCGGGUGUCAGCGGCGGACGGGUGAGUAACGCGUGGGAACGUGCCCUCUGGUUCGGGAUAACUCAGGGAAACUUGAGCUAAUACCGGAUACGCCCUUUUGGGGAAAGGCUUGCUGCCGGAGGAUCGGCCCGCGUCUGAUUAGCUAGUUGGUGAGGUAACGGCUCACCAAGGCGACGAUCAGUAGCUGGUCUGAGAGGAUGAUCAGCCACACUGGGACUGAGACACGGCCCAGACUCCUACGGGAGGCAGCAGUGGGGAAUAUUGGACAAUGGGCGCAAGCCUGAUCCAGCCAUGCCGCGUGAGUGAUCAAGGCCUUAGGGUUGUAAAGCUCUUUUAUCCGGGACGAUAAUGACGGUACCGGAGGAAUAAGCCCCGGCUAACUUCGUG
rnacentral:rRNA from 1 species